UCAGAGAGGCAAACUGGGUGCUGCUUCUCCCAGAGCCUUUAUACCUCCCAGUAUUUGGAUCCUCCCUUUUCCCGUUCCUCAGGGGAAGGGAGGUGGGCGUGGCUAGGGCUGUAUUAGCCCCAGCCUUUGGUCAAGGAGCUCAUUUGCCAGCCGGGCUUCAAAGGAUUAAGAGCUGUUUCUUUCUUUCAAUUAAUAGAGCCUCUCAAAUUAUUUCAGCAUUAUUAAACCACCAGCUUUGGCAUCUAAAGAAGCAGACCUGAGCGUUGCAUCUUUUGGGAUUUCCUGAUCGUGUCAGCUGCAACUUGUCAGCUUUUCACAAGAGUUGUCCGGUCUUGAGGUGAAGCUACUCUGUGUUGAAGAUGACUUCAGAAAUCCAAGUUUCUGAGCGGUCAGUCAAGGGUUACAGCUAAGGGAUGGAACGAGGGCUAGGGUACCUGCCUCAGAGACCCUGUCUGUGCUGCCAGGAGAGAGAAAACCUUUGGGAAGCUGGGCUGGAAACAGCAACUCUGUGAAUUGCUCAGCUUUUCCUAGGCAAGGGCAGGUUUUCGGGAACAAAGGCCCGUACGCGCGAAAGGCGCCGCGGGUCUCGCCAAGGUGGGGGGGGGGGGCGCGGCUGCAGCGCCGCGCGCGGCUGCAGUGCCGCUCCCGGCCGUGUCCGCCAGGCGGCGACUGUGAGGCAGGGCCCGGCGCUCGGGGGCGCUCUCGCAAGCGACGCCCCCGGGAAAGCGGCGGGGUUUGGGCACUGCCGGCCUUCCCCCGGAGCGCCCGGGCUGGCCCGGCGCCUGGCAGAACCUCUGAGGGAAAAGGCAAGCAACAACAGGGGGAUCAUCAGGUUUUCCAGCCAAGAAAAACAAGGAGAGAGAUGAGGGAAUCGGGUUCCAAUUACUAAUGAUUUUGAUGGGUGCAGGAAUGAUUUCUGUGUGUUUUCCAGUCCCUUUUGAUUCCUGGGAUGAUUUUGAAAUGAUGGCUUUAGCAAUCAACUAAAUCGGAGAUGUUGUUUUUGAGAGGAAAUGAUGCCAAAUAGAUGCAGAGUUUUGGG